rnacentral:rRNA from 1 species
AUGUCGGUUCCACUAUUGGCAACCGCUCUUUGUAACCGCCUUUGUAUCCGGGUAUAUAUACCCACAAACUUCAUCAAUGAAAGUAACUGUUUCAUCAUUUGCUCCUCUCUCUCGUUUUACUUUCACACGUUAUCAGCACUUUGCCCUAACCGAGAUCGAUUAAGCCAACGACAAGAAAAGACGGGCAGCGCAGCGGCGCUUGCGCAUCUAGGGCAUCGUGCGACUCUCGGCCGUGGGCUGCACCGGCGCUAUCCGGCGUUUUGCGGUGAAGCAUCAAACCCCAACGCGGAUGGCGACAUCAGUCACGGUGGCGCUCGCGUCUGCCAUUUGCGCCUGUACGCGCAGCGUCGACUCGCAUCCUCGCGACCUCGAACUCAAGGCGUGGCCCUCGAUGGCGCUCGGCGAGACAUCGGCAGAGAAAAAGAUGAACAAAUAGAAAGAAGGAACAUGAGAAUUGGCACCCACGAUCGAUGGAUUGAAAAUCCAAACCAAGAAACGGAAGCACCCACAUGGUAUUUCUUUAGUUCGUCAUGUUCAUACCUCUAA